rnacentral:rRNA from 1 species
AGAGUUUGAUCAUGGCUCAGGACGAACGCUGGCGGCGUGCUUAACACAUGCAAGUCGAGCGGUAAGGCCCUUCGGGGUACACGAGCGGCGAACGGGUGAGUAACACGUGGGCAACCUGCCCCGUACCUUGGGAUAAGCCCGGGAAACUGGGUCUAAUACCGAAUAUGACUUCAUACCGCAUGGUGUGGGGUGGAAAGUUC